UAUCAGUCAUGCAUAGCAUAUCAAUAAGCGGAGGAAAAGAAACUAACAAGGAUUCCCUUAGUAACGGCGAGUGAAGCGGGAAGAGCUCAAAUUUGAAAUCUUCAAGGUUCUACCUUGACGAAUUGUAGUUUAUAGAAGUGUUUUCUGUUAGUAGAGUGGCAAAAGUUCUUUGGAAUAGGACAUCAUAGAGGGUGAGAAUCCCGUAUUUGGUCAUUCCUCCUAGCUUUGUGAUACACUUUCAACGAGUCGGAUUGUUUGGGAAUGCAGUCCAAAAUGGGUGGUAAAUUUCAUCUAAAGCUAAAUAUUGGCGAGAGACCGAUAGCGAACAAGUACCGUGAGGGAAAGAUGAAAAGAACUUUGAAAAGAGAGUUAAACAGUACGUGAAAUUGUCAAAAGGGAAGCGUUUGACACCAGUGUUGUUUUUCCGAAAAUCAAUUACGAAUGUUUUGUUUUUAAGAAGUUAUGACUCAUCGGCUUGCUUCUUUCUUUAUGAAACUUUCUUAAUGCACUUUUCGGUUAACAAGUCAACAUCAAUUUCUUUUGUUGUAAAAGGGUAUGAGGAAGGUGGCUUUCUUUUCGGAGAAAGUGUUUAUAGCCUUGUGCCUCUGCAAUCGGAGAGAUUGAGGUCUGCAGCGUAGAUCCUUCGGGGUUAGAUACAUUUGUGCUAAGUUAUAGCUUUUCAUAGACAACUUGUUGACUAUGUUUAGUCUUGUAGCUUACUCGCUUAUGCUAUUUUACCUACGCUUAGGAUGUUGAUCUCUCACAGUCGAGC
rnacentral:rRNA from 1 species